UACGUAGGGGGCAAGCGUUGUCCGGAAUCAUUGGGCGUAAAGAGCUCGUAGGCGGCUCGUUGCGUCGGCUGUGAAAACCCGCAGCUUAACUGUGGGCCUGCAGCCGAUACGGGCGAGCUAGAGUUCGGUAGGGGAGACUGGAAUUCCUGGUGUAGCGGUGAAAUGCGCAGAUAUCAGGAGGAACACCGGUGGCGAAGGCGGGUCUCUGGGCCGAUACUGACGCUGAGGAGCGAAAGCGUGGGGAGCGAACAGG
rnacentral:rRNA from 1 species